UUACAAGUAGCAUUAAGGUCACUUCAUUUAUUAGUUAUUUAAACAUGCUUGCUAAGUGAUAACUAAUAUUAAACAAUUCAGAUCAAUUUAUUUAUUUAUUAUUUAAUUAAACAUGCAAAACUAAGUAAUGACAUAACAUUAAAUAUAUAUAUUAAACAUGCAACAAUUUAUGGAAGAUAAGCGAGAAGACAGAACUUACACAAUCGAAUAGGAUAAUCAAAU
rnacentral:lncRNA from 1 species